rnacentral:rRNA from 1 species
AAGUCUUGACAUCCCGGUGACGGUACCGUAACGGGUACUUCUCUUCGGAGCAGCGGAGACAGGUGGUGCAUGGUUGUCGUCAGCUCGUGUCGUGAGAUGUUGGGUUAAGUCCCGCAACGAGCGCAACCCUUAUCCUUAGUAGCCAGCAGUAAGAUGGGCACUCUAAGGAGACUGCCGGGGAUAACCCGGAGGAAGGUGGGGAUGACGUCAAAUCAUCAUGCCCCUUAUGAUUUGGGCUACACACGUGCUACAAUGGCGUAAACAAAGUGAAGCAGAGCCGUAAGGCCGAGCAAACCACAAAAAUAACGUCUCAGUUCGGAUUGUAGUCUGCAACUCGACUACAUGAAGCUGGAAUCGCUAGUAAUCGCAGAUCAGAAUGCUGCGGUGAAUACGUUCCCGGGUC